ensembl:misc_RNA Gm23548 predicted gene, 23548
GGAUAUAAGGGUGAUCUGGCUGAGGUACCUAUCACCCUAUUGAUUGUAGGGUUGAUUUAACUGAUCCAGUUGGCUAAAUGGGCAUCUCUUCCUCCCUUACUGCUUC